rnacentral:rRNA from 1 species
AGAGUUUGAUCCUGGCUCAGGAUGAACGCUGGCGGCGUGCCUAAUACAUGCAAGUCGAACGCUUUGUCUUUAAUUGAUAUGAAGAGCUUGCUCUGAUUUGAUUUUAUCUGACAAAGAGUGGCGAACGGGUGAGUAACACGUGGGUAACCUACCUCUUAGCAGGGGAUAACAUUUGGAAACAAGUGCUAAUACCGUAUAACACUAACAACCGCAUGGUUGUUAGUUGAAAGAUGGUUCUGCUAUCACUAAGAGAUGGACCCGCGGUGCAUUAGCUAGUUGGUAAGGUAAUGGCUUACCAAGGCGAUGAUGCGUAGCCGAGUUGAGAGACUGAUCGGCCACAAUGGGACUGAGACACGGCCCAUACUCCUACGGGAGGCAGCAGUAGGGAAUCUUCCACAAUGGGCGCAAGCCUGAUGGAGCAACGCCGCGUGUGUGAUGAAGGGUUUCGGCUCGUAAAACACUGUUAUAAGAGAAGAACGACAUUGAGAGUAACUGUUCAGUGUGUGACGGUAUCUUAUCAGAAAGGAACGGCUAAAUACGUGCCAGCAGCCGCGGUAAUACGUAUGUUCCAAGCGUUAUCCGGAUUUAUUGGGCGUAAAGCGAGCGCAGACGGUUAUUUAAGUCUGAAGUGAAAGCCCUCAGCUCAACUGAGGAAGGGCUUUGGAAACUGGAUAACUUGAGUGCAGUAGAGGAAAGUGGAACUCCAUGUGUAGCGGUGAAAUGCGUAGAUAUAUGGAAGAACACCGGUGGCGAAAGCGGCUUUCUGGACUGUAACUGACGUUGAGGCUCGAAAGUGUGGGUAGCAAACAGGAUUAGAUACCCUGGUAGUCCCACACCGUAAACGAUGAGUGCUAGAUGUUCGAGGGUUUCCGCCCUUGAGUGUCGCAGCU